UCGAGAAUUUUUCUCAAUGGGGGAAACCCUGAAGGAGCGACGCCGCGUGGAGGAUGAAGGUCUUCGGAUUGUAAACUCCUGUCAUGAGGGAGUAAGGCAUUUCGUUAACUGCGAAAAUGCUUGAUAGUACCUCAAGAGGAAGGGACGGCUAACUCUGUGCCAGCAGCCGCGGUAAUACAGAGGUCCCGAGCGUUGUUCGGAUUCAUUGGGCGUAAAGGGUGCGUAGGCUGCCGUGUAAGUCAGAUGUGAAAUUCCAGGGCUCAACCUUGGAACUGCAUUUGAUACUGCAUGGCUAGAGUGCUGGAGAGGAGACUGGAAUUCACGGUGUAGCAGUGAAAUGCGUAGAUAUCGUGAGGAAGACCAGUGGCGAAAGCGAGUCUCUGGACAGCAACUGACGCUG
rnacentral:rRNA from 1 species